AAUGAACGCUGGCGGCGCGCCUAAUACAUGCAAGUCGAGCGAGAAGACGUAGCAAUACGUUUGUAAAGCGGCGAACGGGUGAGGAAUACAUGGGUAACCUACCCUCGAGUGGGGAAUAACUAGCCGAAAGGUUAGCUAAUACCGCGUACGCUUCUUGGACUUCGGUUCAGGGAGGAAAGCGAUGCCGAGGGUAUCGCGCUCUUGGAUGGGCUCAUGUCCUAUCAGCUUGUUGGGAGGUAACGGCUCACCAAGGCUUCGACGGGUANCUGGUCUGAGAGGACGAUCAGCCACACUGGCACUGCGACACGGGCCAGACUCCUACGGGAGGCAGUAGUAAGGAAUAUUGCGCAAUGGGCGAAAGCCUGACGCAGUGACGCCGCCGGUGGGGGAGU
rnacentral:rRNA from 1 species